rnacentral:tRNA from 1 species
GCUCCCAUAGUCUAGCCCGGUCAAGGACGGAGCCCUCUCAAGGCUUUAACUCGGGUUCAAAUCCCGAUGGGAGCG